CGAGCGGACAGAUGGGAGCUUGCUCCCUGAUGUUAGCGGCGGCCCGUUGAGUAACACGUGGGUAACCUGCCUGUAAGACUGGGAUAACUCUCGGGAAACCGGGGCUAAUACCGGAUGGUUGUCUGAACCGCAUGGUUCAGACAUAAAAGGUGGCUUCGGCUACCACUUACAGAUGGACCCGCGGCGCAUUAGCUAGUUGGUGAGGUAACGGCUCACCAAGGCAACGAUGCGUAGCCGACCUGAGAGGGUGAUCGGCCACACUGGGACUGAGACACGGCCCAGACUCCUACGGGAGGCAGCAGUAGGGAAUCUUCCGCAAUGGACGAAAGUCUGACGGAGCAACGCCGCGUGAGUGAUGAAGGUUUUCGGAUCGUAAAGCUCUGUUGUUAGGGAAGAACAAGUGCCGUUCAAAUAGGGCGGCACCUUGACGGUACCUAACCAGAAAGCCACGGCUAACUACGUGCCAGCAGCCGCGGUAAUACGUAGGUGGCAAGCGUUGUCCGGAAUUAUUGGGCGUAAAGGGCUCGCAGGCGGUUUCUUAAGUCUGAUGUGAAAGCCCCCGGCUCAACCGGGGAGGGUCAUUGGAAACUGGGGAACUUGAGUGCAGAAGAGGAGAGUGGAAUUCCACGUGUAGCGGUGAAAUGCGUAGAGAUGUGGAGGAACACCAGUGGCGAAGGCGACUCUCUGGUCUGUAACUGACGCUGAGGAGCGAAAGCGUGGGGAGCGAACAGGAUUAGAUACCCUGGUAGUCCACGCCGUAAACAAUGAGUGCUAAGUGUUAGGGGGUUUCCGCCCCCUUAGUGCUGCAGC
rnacentral:rRNA from 1 species